UACGGGGGGGGCAAGCGUUGUUCGGAAUCACUGGGCGUAAAGCGCACGUAGGCGGCUUUCUAAGUCAGGGGUGAAAUCCUGGAGCUCAACUCCAGAACUGCCUUUGAUACUGGAGAGCUAGAGUCCGGAAGAGGUGAGUGGAACUGCGAGUGUAGAGGUGAAAUUCGUAGAUAUUCGCAAGAACACCAGUGGCGAAGGCGGCUCACUGGUCCGGUACUGACGCUGAGGUGCGAAAGCGUGGGGAGCAAACAGG
rnacentral:rRNA from 1 species